GGGGGUGAGUUUAGAGGCGGAGAGAUGUAGAGAGUCGAGGAUCUGUAUCUGGGACGGCUACAGCAGUGAGAUGCUGCAGUGAAGCUGACCAGAUGAGCUGGCCCGUGUACAGCUACUUGCUUAGAGAGUUCCUGCACUUUCCUUUUUCCCCCCAUAUCAUCAUCUCUCACCAUCUCCACCUCCUUGAUUAACUUUUACAUCACCCACACUUCGGCCUUCGCCAUUCCCUCCUCCCUUUUCCGCUGACUCUUUCUCUUUGCACCAACGGUUUCCCAUCCUUUUGAAUUAGUUGGAAUGGACCUCAUUGGAGAACUGACUGAAACCAAAUCAGGACACCAGUACAUAUGUGUCAUCAUUGACUAUUUUACAAAGUGGCCACAGGCUUAUCCACUUAAGACAAAGUCCGUCCCCGAAGUUACUGAGUGCAUCAUAAAGUUUGUGGAUCAGUUUGAAGCCCCAAUAAGAAUUUUGACUGACCAAGGCAGAGAGUUUUUCAAUUCUAUAAACAAAGAAGUGAGCAAAGUCCUAAACAUCAAAAGGAGUCUGCUCUCCUUAUCAUCCACAAAUGUAUGGGUUGGUGGAGAAAAUGAACGGUACCAUUCAGAGAUCCCUGAGUAAAGUUGUGGAUGCCCAUCCAAAUACCUGGGAUGAGUACCUGGAUGCUGUCAUGUUUGGGCUUCGAACAAAGAAGCAAUUAGCUAUGCAGCAUUCCCCUUAUUUGUUGAUGUUUGGAAGAGAAGCACGGUAUCCUUCUGAAGUUCCUGAACACUGCUUGAUUGACAAUGGCGUGGAGGACAUUAUUGCAGUGGAGGAGUUGUCAGAGGACAUCAAGAUACAAGAAAGCGAUGAAGGGAAGAACAAAACACAACAACAUUGUGUUUAAAGUCGGUGACAGAGUAUGGAGACAAAACAUCCAAAGUCAGCAGCAAAAACGUGGAAAGCUAGAUGCAGGUUUUCUUGGGCCUUACACAAUCAUUGCUAGCCAAGGCAAAAUGGCACAUCUCCAAGAUGAUUAUGGAGCGAUUUUUCGUAAAAUAAUCACCUUAAACUGUGCAUAACCGAAAGUCCCACACUGUCACAUUAUUAAAAAAAAAACAAGGAAACCAAACAUUUUCUGCUCAACCUGUCUGCUCCAGCAUCACCUCCUGCUGCAUCAGUUGCACCUCCCUCUGCCCCAGCUACAACUCAUCUUCAGUCUGCUACCCCUCAAAGAAAAACUCUAACUGAGAAAUGCAAGCUUAUUGUUUGAUUUUUAAAAAUGUAUAUCAAACUACAUUGUUUAAAUAUGUCAAUUUCAGUUAGCAUCCAUAUGUACAGGGGUUGGACAAUGAAACUGAAACACCUGGUUUUAGACCACAAUAAUUUAUUAGUAUAGUCUAGGGCCUCCUUUUGCGGCCAAUACAGCGUCAA